rnacentral:ncRNA from 14 species
CAAUUUAAUAUAAAUUUAGGUUCUUAAAGAUUAAUAGGGAAAGAGGUGUAAUUCCUCUACAGCCCCCGUUACUGUAAUGUGGACGAAACUCAGUAUACCACUGUAUUAUAAGCAGAGUAAAUUCUUAACAAUAUAGUUGUCUAAAGCUAUAGCGAAGACAAUUUGUUAACGACAUGAACAAAGCGAAUUUUAUGGGAAGGUGAGGAGUAGGUUGAUACUAAGUCAGGAAACCUGCCUGAAUUAUGAAGCAAAUU